rfam:Drosophila simulans chromosome 3L, whole genome shotgun sequence.
ACUUAGCUAAAACGGUUGGUUCAAAACAUUUGCUUGCUGUCUUGGCAUAACAUCAAAAAGGCAUAAAAAUCGCAAAAUAAUGGUUAUUUAUUAAAUGGCCUGCUCUCCUCCUCACUCACGGCCCACCGGCCUCCCCCCGAUC